GACGAACGCUGGCGGCGUGCUUAACACAUGCAAGUCGAGCGGAGCGGCGAACGGGUGAGUAACGCGUGAGUAACUGCCCCCCUCUCUGGGAUAACAGUUGGAAACGGCUGCUAAUACCGGCUAGUGGGGGAUGACUCGCGUCAUAUCAGCUUUUUGGUGGGGUAGUGGCCUACCAAGGCGACGACGGGUCGCCAGCCUGAGAGGGCGACCGGCCACAUGGGUCUGAGAUACGGCCCAAACUCCUACGGGAGGCAUGAGUGGGGAAUAGUGCACAAUAGGGGGAACCCGGAUGCAGCAACGCCGCGUGCGGGAUGACGGCCUUCGGGUUGUAAACCGCUUUCAGCCAUGACGCGGUAUUGGCAGAAGAAGCACCGGCUAACUACGUGCCAGCCGCCGCGGUAAUUC
rnacentral:rRNA from 1 species